AGCAAAUUCAUGCCAAAACGAGAUGGCC
rnacentral:sRNA from 1 species